AAUCAGAAUUAGCAAACCUGCGGUGUAGCUCACACUUUCAAAUACCUUCUUAUAUUUUUGACUGGUAUUCAGCUCUCAUACCUUAUAUUUUUUAUUGGUAUUCAGCUCUGAUACCAAAUGCAACGAUCUGAUUAAUUAACAAUAAUAACUCAUUGGAUCCAAACCAUCAGUCUAAAAUAUUUAAGUUUAGUUAUUAUUGUUAGGAUGCGCAGCCUUUUAUAUUCUUAAUCAGAUUAUUUUUUCAUCCGAUAUAAAACUAUAGAAUUGUUAUAUGAUCAAGAAUAUGAUGUUGUGGUACAGUUGUCACAUUCUAAA
rnacentral:lncRNA from 1 species